UACGGAGGAUGCAAGCGUUAUCCGGAAUGAUUGGGCGUAAAGCGUCCGCAGGUGGCUAUGUAAGUCUGCUGUUAAAGAGUCUGGCUCAACCAGAUAAAGGCAGUGGAAACUACAUGGCUAGAGUGCGUUCGGGGCAGAGGGAAUUCCUGGUGUAGCGGUGAAAUGCGUAGAGAUCAGGAAGAACACCGGAGGCGAAGGCGGCUUGCUGGGCGUGAUCUGACGCUGAGGCGCGAAAGCGUGGGGAGCGAACAGG
rnacentral:rRNA from 1 species